AGGAAUAUUAAGUUAAGGAUAAAGCUUCUAACUUUUUUCCUAAGCGGUUAAAUUCCGUUUAUAUUCCUG
rnacentral:tRNA from 1 species